UCUGGUUAACCUCUUAACGAAGGCCACAUGGAUGUUAGUAAAAUCGCUGUCGGGUACACUUCCCGACAGUCUUAAGAGAACAACCGAAACCUCGUGUGCCCUGUCAUCACUGACACAAACAGCACCGGCGAUGUGUUUACCUUAAAGCACUCCGGCCAUACACGCCGGCGACGGAGCUAAUUAUAAUAAUUAAUAGAAACAGGUUGACUGCGUAAAAUAAUCACGCAAAUUUGACAAAUUAAAGGACAUAUUCUUGUCAAUCCAUCCAUUAAGAUUG
rnacentral:misc_RNA from 1 species